UACGAAGGGGGCUAGCGUUGUUCGGAAUCACUGGGCGUAAAGCGCACGUAGGCGGAUUUUUAAGUCAGGGGUGAAAUCCCGAGGCUCAACCUCGGAACUGCCUUUGAUACUGGAGAUCUUGAGUUCGGGAGAGGUGAGUGGAACUGCGAGUGUAGAGGUGAAAUUCGUAGAUAUUCGCAAGAACACCAGUGGCGAAGGCGGCUCACUGGCCCGAUACUGACGCUGAGGCACGAAAGCGUGGGGAGCAAACAGG
rnacentral:rRNA from 1 species